AUUGAACGCUGGCGGCAUGCUUUACACAUGCAAGUCGAACGGUAACAGGCCUUCGGGUGCUGACGAGUGGCGAACGGGUGAGUAAUGCAUCGGAACGUGCCCAGAGGUGGGGGAUAACGCAGCGAAAGCUGUGCUAAUACCGCAUGUGAUCUGAGGAUGAAAGCGGGGGACCAGGCAGCAAUGUUUGGCCUCGCGCCUUUGGAGCGGCCGAUGUCAGAUUAGGUAGUUGGGGGGGUAAAGGCCUACCAAGCCGACGAUCUGUAGCUGGUCUGAGAGGACGACCAGCCACACUGGGACUGAGACACGGCCCAGACUCCUACGGGAGGCAGCAGUGGGGAAUUUUGGACAAUGGGCGCAAGCCUGAUCCAGCAAUGCCGCGUGCGGUAAGAAGGCCUUCGGGUUGUAAACCGCUUUUGUACGGAACGAAAAGGCUCUGGCUAAUACCUGGGGCUGAUGACGGUACCGUAAGAAUAAGCACCGGCUAACUACGUG
rnacentral:rRNA from 1 species